AGCGAACGCUGGCGGCAGGCUUAACACAUGCAAGUCGAACGGGCUUCUUCGGAUGUCAGUGGCAGACGGGUGCGUAACACGUGGGAACGUGCCCUUCGGUUCGGAAUAACUCAGGGAAACUUGAGCUAAUACCGGAUACGCCCUUAUGGGGAAAGGUUUACUGCCGAAGGAUCGGCCCGCGUCUGAUUAGCUUGUUGGUGGGGUAACGGCGUACCAAGGCGACGAUCAGUAGCUGGUCUGAGAGGAUGAUCAGCCACACUGGGACUGAGACACGGCCCAGACUCCUACGGGAGGCAGCAGUGGGGAAUAUUGGACAAUGGGCGCAAGCCUGAUCCAGCCAUGCCGCGUGAGUGAUGAAGGCCUUAGGGUUGUAAAGCUCUUUUGUCCGGGACGAUAAUGACGGUACCGGAAGAAUAAGCCCCGGCUAACUUCGUG
rnacentral:rRNA from 1 species